rnacentral:piRNA from 1 species
UCCAGCAUUUGUCUUCUCCCUGAACUCAGC